rnacentral:rRNA from 1 species
UACGAAGGGGGCUAGCGUUGCUCGGAAUGACUGGGCGUAAAGGGCGCGUAGGCGGCUGACACAGUCAGAUGUGAAAUCCCCGGGCUUAACCUGGGGGCUGCAUUUGAUACGUGUUGUCUAGAGUGAGGAAGAGGGUUGUGGAAUUCCCAGUGUAGAGGUGAAAUUCGUAGAUAUUGGGAAGAACACCGGUGGCGAAGGCGGCAACCUGGUCCUUGACUGACGCUGAGGCGCGAAAGCGUGGGGAGCAAACAGG